CAGAAUUCCUGAGGACGGAUGAUGUACCAGCCAUCAAGCAGGAACAGAAACACAACUGUGAAUGAACAUAAAGUUUCUUCUGAUCCUAAGGUUAAAGAACCCACAAAAGUUUUCUUGAGCAUGGAUUACCUACAGUGAUCGUGGCUUCUUGAUUCCCAGAUUAUAUCACAAUGGUGAGUUACAGAAUGAUAAUUUAACAAAUCUUGUUUUUAACUGGUUAUGGUAUAAAACUGGGUAUUUUCCAACACCUGUACUUCUGUCCAAUAGACUUAACUUCUUCAAUGCAGAUCUUAUAUAGUUCAUUUACUUAAAAUACAAUAAUGGCUCAGAUUUUGCUAUA